CCGCCUCGCGUCGCCAGGCCCGCCACGAUGGCUCACAUUCCCGCGUGCAAUCCAGGCUAACACACGGCGCGCGCCCGGCUACGUCAGUUCCCCCGGCACGCGGCGAGGACGACCACGACGAGGCACCUGCCCCACGAGACGGGGACAGGCGCGCCUCCCUUACCCUCUCGGCGUCCCGAGAGAACUGCUCGACGGACGCACCAUCGCGGUGGGGACCCGAGGGCCUCGCCGGCAACGGGAGAGGACGCCACAGCUCGGGCCAACUGAGGGGCGACCCGGAGCGCUGCAGGGCCACCGCUGAGAGCGGGGCGAGACGCGCUCACGCACUGAGGGGGGCGCGUAGCACGGCGGCGGCGGGACACCCCCGCCCUUCCACCCCGCCCCGGGGUGGGGGGGCUUCUCGCGAGACUCGCGCCGAGGCGUCGCGGCUAGAGUGCCCACGGCGUGAGAGGCAGGGGCGGGAGACCGAAGGAGGGCCCGUGCUCCGCACCCCUGCCUUCGAGGCACAACCGCUGGGCGGGCAGGAGAGGCCAGGAGUCCGCAGGCAGAAUGAGGAGAGCGGCCUGGUUCCCCGGGAACGUCGGCCUAGGCCCAGGCCUGGAGAGCGCGACAUCACCACAUCCAGCAAUUUCUGCAAGUCUUGGUCGUGAGAGACAAGAAAACCUGAGGAAUACGUUGGAAGAGCCUGACUAAGGAGCCAUGAUGACUAAGUGCAAUGUGGAAUCCUGAAGGAGAUCCUGGGACAGAAAAAGGACAUCACUGGAAAAACCUGGUGAAGUCCAAUGGGCCAUCCUAUGACAGCCAUUCUGUGUGAUCCAGUGGGUGCCCCAAAACAAGAAAAGUGUGUGUAACACAAGCCCAAAGAUCCAGGAAGCCAGAAAAAAGUCCAGGAAAUUCUGAAAUGUAUCCUGCUCUUCCAUGCAAGAAAAUACAGCAGGCUGUUGGUUGUACUCCCAGUUAUGCUCAAUCAGGACUGCCUUUCCAACUGUAUUCCUCACUGGAGUUAACUCGAGGCUGUUGUGACUGCUUCUCUUUGGAUUUCUCAGUGGGUUCUUUCCUGGAUUCUUCACUAAAUGGUUCAAAUGACUCUUCAAUGAAUUCCUAACUGAAAUCCUGUUCCCAAACGUCACUGAAUUCUCCACCGGUGUGUUUCAAUCUGUGGGCACUGUUUCAUGCAGAAGACAUUAAAUAAAAGGCAGUCGAGCAAAUACAAGCAAGAGACCGAACGUUUCAGCAAAGUCUACGGGCUCCAAACAGCCUUAGUUUGGAAGGCAAAAAAAUCCUCACAGCUUCCCCUACUGCAGCUUUGAUGACAGAUUCAACGAUAUCACUGGUGCACUUGAGGGACCAACCACAUGGAACCACUUAUCAUUCCGAGCCAAGAGGAAGCUGUAGGGGACAGAGCACACACGGUUGCUUGUAAUCAACAGCACAAUGCUGCAUAACCUCAAGAGCCAGCAGCAAACAAGGGGAAACCGUGUAAAAGCGCUGACUGACAAAUGGCCAUUAAAGGAACACCCUACUGCUUCUGAUCGGUCACCUCCAUUGUCCCCAACCCAAGCCAGAGAAGGAAAAAGUGCCCGUGGGACUCGGGCUGAAGCUCACCACAGUACCAGAGACCUGGUUUUCUUGUUGUUGAUGAUGAUGAUGAUGACGAUGAUGAUGUUUUAAAGGGAUGGUGCAGACAGUGAAUUCUCUGAGCUACACGGGGGAGGAUUUUCUCUAAGUGUUUUCUUCUUGCCCACAAGCUAGUGCAGGAUGUCCAGUUCAGCCAAUCCUUAUCGAGGCAGCUAGCUCUGACACUACAUUAGGAAGCUCUCCCUUCACUUAAGAGAGCCGAGAAGGGGGACAUGAAUGCACAGAAUAUCUAACUUUUCCCCUAAGGCCUCAUAAAGUAGACAUCUUUCUUCCUUACUUCCUGCAGUUCAGGAAACAAGACCGAAGUAAAGGAAUUAUGAACUGUACUCGUCAGCCCUGUAACUUUCAUGUCAAACUGAGGGCGUUGGCCUCUAAGUAGAAGUCUCUCAUGAGGAGAGCAUCAGUCUAAGCAGCAGGAAUGGUUGGUUCACGCUCCAUGUUUGCUGACCUGGAUGAUGCAGAAGAGAGAGGUGGGCUGCUAUGCUCCAUUUCCCUAAUGACUUUCCAACCCCGUUCAGUUCCGUGGGCAGCUGCUAAGACAGGGUCUGUUAGCCCAGCCUGCUGACCAAGUCUUGGCAGGUCUUUUUAUUGUGGCAAGUCUGAACCAGAAGAGAAGUUUUGUUGCACUAUUUCCUCUCUUUUAUGGAUGCAGCCUACUGCUGCAAAAGGCAGACCACCCCCUCCUGCAGUGUUUCUGGUCUGCUGGCUUUUGCACGGGCCCAGUGCGAGGAAAUUCCUCCUUGACCUCAGCAUUCCUUCCUGACAAUUACCAUAUGCCUCUAGAGACCUGGGAAGCUUCACCCAGGUUUGCAGCGUCACUGUGGAGGCCAUUCUUAUCCAGAGCAGGGCUGAAAUCUUUCUUUCUUUUUUUUUUUUUUUUCAUUAUAAUAAGCUACCUUGUUUCUAUGAGAUUCUGUAACAGUAAAUUACACAGGUUAAUUAUUCCCUCCAUUAAAAGAAGAUUUCCUCUAAAUCGUUUCAAGCAUGUUGCCUUGUUGCUGGCCUGUGAUGACUGGCGCAGAUAGCCAGGCUGAGUUGUUUAAUUGAGAGAUUUUCCUGUGUCAGCAGCUGAGAAUAACAUUCUCACUUGUCUAACUCAGGAGGAGACACUGAUUACAGUGAGAAACAGCCAUCACCGCAGGGAGCGCGCCCUCCUCCCGUCUCUGCCCCCAGAUCGGCAGCACACCACCCUUCCCCUACACUCCCCUGGGAAGAAGCGGGUACAGGAAGGAAAUGUUGUGUUGCCGAAGACCACCAGCCCCUCUGCAGAAGGGCAGAGAAGACCUGCUCGGGGAAAGAGAAAGAUGGGCUUACAGAACAGUUAUACAAGGGCUUAAGUGGUUUCUCUAAAAAGCAGUGAAAUUUUUAAAAGUUAGU